AUUGAACGCUGGCGGCAUGCCUUACACAUGCAAGUCGAACGGCAGCACGGGAGCAAUCCUGGUGGCGAGUGGCGAACGGGUGAGUAAUAUAUCGGAACGUGCCCGGUCGUGGGGAUAACGUAGCGAAAGCUACGCUAAUACCGCAUACGAUCUACGGAUGAAAGCGGGGGAUCGCAAGACCUCGCGCGAUUGGAGCGGCCGAUAUCAGAUUAGGUAGUUGGUGAGGUAAAGGCUCACCAAGCCGACGAUCUGUAGCUGGUCUGAGAGGACGACCAGCCACACUGGGACUGAGACACGGCCCAGACUCCUACGGGAGGCAGCAGUGGGGAAUUUUGGACAAUGGGCGCAAGCCUGAUCCAGCAAUGCCGCGUGCAGGAUGAAGGCCUUCGGUGUAACUGCUUUGUACGGUAACGAAACGGUGAGCUCUAAUACAGUUUGCUAAUGACGGUACCGUAAGAAUAAGACACC
rnacentral:rRNA from 1 species